GGAUUAAAUUUUGACUAUGAUUUACUAAUUAUAUUUAUAGCUGUCACAUUGAUAUUGUCAAGUUCUGAAGUUCAAGGAAGAAGAUGUGUGUCUCUUCAGCUUCCUAAUUGGGUUUCUUCUAAUUACAAUUCUAAUCUGUUUAUUUUUAACUGGUUAAUGGGGAUUGGAAAUUCUUGAUAUUUAUUAGAUUUCAGUUCUUGAUGGUUUCUGUGAUAAUUUGUGAGGAGUUUUGUUUUUUAUUUUUUUUUUCAGAAGGAAUUUAGUAAAGAAAAAGAUUGAUGAAAGAAUUUGAAGUUCUAUUUGUGUUGUUUUUUUUUUUUGUUUAAUGAAAAUAUAUAUACAUGUAUAUAUGUAGAGAAUGAGCUGUAGGAAUUAAAUCGUCUCUGUUUGUUUUCAUGAGUCAUGCUGCGGCGAGAUACAAUGGUUAAUGCCUUCACAUCAGAAUUAAGGCAGAAACAAACAACUCAAUUGACUUGAGCUUGGCCCAUUCUAUUUGGUUUUCAUUACCAGCUAAUGUCCUCAUUAUCUCCUUAAACAUUUUGAGUCAAAGUCUUACAUGUUAGCCCAAGUUGGAUUUUUUUUAAUAUAAAUAAAUGAAUCACUAAUUUAUUAGAAAAAAAUUAUAAACAAAAUACAGAAGGAAAAAAAAAAAAUAGUGUUUGUCGUAAAUUUUUCAAUUAAAAAAAAAAAACACACACACUACGGCCGGGAGAAAAACCAAGACACAAACGGUUUAAUUUUAUGUUUCUAUUAACAUAUUUUUUAAGUUAAUUUGAUACUGUCUAUAAGCUAUUUGUAAAAUCUAAGAGCGGUUCUUAUGCUAACUAGAAUUAAAAAUAUAUCAAGAAAAAAAGCAUCUUAAGGUUGAACUUGACCGUGAUUCACUUGGCUCUCUAUAUUGAUCUUCAAGUUUAGAAGUUCACAGAAACAAGAAGAAAAUGCAAGUCUCUUCUCUGAACAUGAGAGGCCUCCUAAUGGGCUUCUUGUCAUCAUCAUUCUCAUCUCUGUUCAUCUUCAAGUGGUUCACGGAGGAGGAAGGGGGUUUGACCAUAUGCGUCACCGUCUAUGCUUCACCAUCUUCGGACAGUUUUGGUGCUUACCAGGGGAGCGGAACUCAAGCAAAGAUAAUUUGAGGUUCCAAGUCUGCUUAUAUAUCUAUGGUGUUACCCAUUAAUGAAAUUUGGAGAAUUUGAAGUUCAUAUAUCUUUAAUAAAAUAAAAAAAGCAUUAGGAGUAAAAGGUUUAAAGACUUGUAUAUUUCACUGUUCAUACUUAUGUAUGAAAUGAAAUGUUUAUUUCUUCAGAAAUGAAACCACAAGCAUUCAGAA